rnacentral:rRNA from 1 species
AUUCAAGAAAAGGAUCCAAGUCCAACCCUAAGUUUUAUCUUAACCAAUUAAUAUUCCCCAAAACUUAGGAGCCACUCUAAUAGGGUACAGCCUAUUUGAAACAGGAUACAGCCUACAAAACAGGGUAAUGACAUUUUUACGUGAUCAAGUAGGCCUGAAAGCAGCCACCUUUUAAAAAGCGUUAAAGCCUAGUCAUACUUCAUUCAAAAUACCUAAAACCCCCACAAAACCCUUCACCCCUAUUGAAUAACUCCAUACCAUUAUGGAAAUUCUUAUGCUAGAACUAGUAACAAGAAAAAGACUUUCUCCAAAAUGUAAGUAUAAGCCCAAAUAAACCCCAUCGGCACUUAAAGUCCAUGAGCUUACUGUAGUAACCACCAAGAAAACCCUACUGACUUAAACGUUAACCUUACACUAGAACACUCCUGGAAAGAUUAAAAAAAGAGGAAGGAACUCGGCAAACCACUAACCCCGCCUGUUUACCAAAAACAUCGCCUCCCGCCCCAAAUGGGAGGUCCAGCCUGCCCAGUGAAAAACAUUAAACGGCCGCGGUACCCUAACCGUGCGAAGGUAGCGCAAUCACUUGUUCCAUAAAUAGGGACUAGUAUGAACGGCAUCACGAGGGUUAUGCUGUCUCCCCCUUUUAAUCAGUGAAACUGAUUUACCCGUGAAGAAGCGGGGAUAAACCUAUAAGACGAGAAGACCCCAUGGAGCUUAAAACCCAACAAACACCUAUCUUUUGAACAUCAUAUUAACUUAAUAAUCCUGUAUGCUGGUUUUCGGUUGGGGCGACCACGGAGUAAAAUUAAACCUCCGCGACGAAAAGAAACACCCCUAAUUUAAGAGCCACAGCUCAAUCAAUCAACAAAUUGACGUUUAUUGACCCAAUUCUUUGAUCAACGAACCUAGUUACCCUGGGGAUAACAGCGCAAUCCACUUCAAGAGCUCCUAUCGACAAGUGGGUUUACGACCUCGAUGUUGGAUCAGGGUAUCCUAGUGGUGCAGCCGCUACUGAAGGUUC